CAGACGCUGCGGCUCGCCGGGCCCAGUGAUCGCCUAAUUGAUGGUGCAGCCGGCAGACUCCACGCAGCCGCCCUUCCGGUGCGCCUGGAGCGCAGCGCUCUCCGCGGGCUUUGUGGUUUCUGGAUCCAUCCCGGGAUGGGCUUCCGGGAGUUCAGGAGAGGGAGGGGAGGGCCAGAGCGGGGACACUCACGACCCUCGCGCCCCUGCCACCCCGCUUUCUCCAGGCUUUCUCGUCCUCCUCCUCGCCGCUACAAGUAUUGUGCCUUUCUAUUUGUCUUUCUUUCAUUCCACCCCCCACCCCCCUGCCCUUUGUGUUUUUCCACUCUAUUUCUCUAUAAACUUCUAUUUCUUUCUCUUCUCCUUUUAAUUUUUUUUUCCUUUCAUUUUUGGCCCUGCCACUUGGCAAGUGGGCUCUUAUUAAUUCCCCUACCAGGGAUCGCACCUGUGCCCCGUGCACUGGGAGUGUGGGGUCUUAACCACUGGACCCCCAGGGAAGCCCCUCUCAUCCCCUUUUCAGUUAGCUCACUAGUCUCUUUCCUACUAGUCUUCUCCACUACCACCACCGCCACCCCCUCCUUCCCCAGGUUUCUGUCUCCAUCUCCCAUUUCCUUCAGUUUCCAAAAUUAUUAGCGCUGAGCCUGGAAGAGUUUCCAGCUGAUCGUUACACCCUGGAGAAGAUUGCAUUUAAGUUACUCCCAUCACCAUCAUCUCCGCCUCCAGUUCCUGCAGGCCUGGGCAGUGUCUUCUGUUUCUCAGGGGAAACUGAGGCCAGUAGAGGUUGCCCAACUGCCCUCCCCCGACAACUCUGCAGUCUCUCCCAGCCCCCACCCAGCUGCCAGGAAUGGGACCACCCAUGAGUACAGAACAGAAAAAAAAGGUCCUUUGUUCCAGGAGAUGCUAGAGACCCAGCUGAGAAGAGAAUGAACUUGCAAACCUGAUUCAACCACAGGCCUUGGCCGUGACCAAUAAAGGAUGCUCCUGCAAGCAGCUCCCUAGCUCUCCCCAGACCUGCCACCACCACCUCCAUCAUCUCCACCUGCCAGUCUGCCUGACUCCAUCUGCAGAGGAGAGACACGGCUGGAAACUGAGAGAGGAGGCUUCACAGGGCCCCACUGCCUGGACCACGGGCACUGGGUUAGAGCAAGGCAGCCCUUCAUCAUUUCUAGCAAAGUCUGUUUCCUACUUGGCAGGGGGCACUGUUCCUCUCUGGGCACCUUGGAGUCUCCUGCCUUCCAGGAAAAGCAUCAGGGAAACCUUGGGUCACCUCGCUUGGCUGACAUCACCCAUCUAGACCUCAUCCAGUCCCAGGUCCCGCAAAAACAAAAGCCGUUGGACCUCAAAGGGUUUCCCUUCUUUCAGCCAGAAUACCUCUCGAAAAUGAUCUUCUUGAUAAGAAAGAUCUCUCUGUGCUGAGGUGGGCAGAUAAAUUAAGUUAAAAAAUGGAAAAUGUCAACACACUGCUCAGUCCAGCUCCACGUUUUAUUUUUUGGCCGCUCCACACAGCAUGUGGGAUCUUAGUUCCCCAGCCAGGGAUCGAACCCACACCCCCUGCACUGGAAACUUGGAGUAGUUCUAACCAUUGGACUUCUAGGAAAUCCACCCCCUCUCCAACCUACUUUUUAAAAAUACACACCUUAAAAAAAUAAGAAGCUGCCAGAAUAUUAGCCAAAAGCAUUCCCUUUGGUUAUGUCUGAGGGUAGGAUGACAGAGGACAUUCUAUGCUCCAUGUUUCUACGAUGUUUUCAUUGAAGGAUUGCUUAUGUAGUCAGGAAUAACAGAGUGUUUGAAAAGGGGAAUGGCGAGGGGUUCUUGGGGUCCUUGAUGUCUUGAGAAGCCAGGUGGGUUGACAGGCAGGAUUCUAGAACAGUUCAUUCAAGAGUCUGAGAGACCACUUUGCCCAGGUUGGGGAAAUUUCAGCCUUUGGUCCAGGACUGAGUCAUCCUGAAGCAGGAAGGAAAAUUGAGUGAUGCUAAAGAAAUCUGAGCACCGAAGAACUGAUGCUCAUGAACUGUGGUGUUGGAGAAGACUCUUGAGAGUCCCUUGGACUGCAAGGAGAUCAAACCAGUCCAUCCUAAAGGAAAUCAACCCUGAAUAUUCA